CCUACGGGUGGCAGCAGUGAGGAAUAUUGGUCAAUGGACGCAAGUCUGAACCAGCCAUGCCGCGUGCAGGACGACGGCUCUAUGAGUUGUAAACUGCUUUUGUACGGGGGUAAACGCAGGUACGUGUCUCUUUCUGGAAGUAUCGUACGAAUAAGGCUCGGCUAACUCCGUUCCAGCAGCCGCAGUAAUACGGAGGAUUCAAGCGUUAUCCGGAUUUAUUGGGUUUAAAGGGUGCGUAGGCGGUCGGAUAAGUUAGAGGGGAAAGCCCGAGGGUCAACGUCGGAAUUGCCUCUGAAACUGUGCGGCUAGAGAGUAGGUGCGGUAGGCGGAAUGUAUGGUGUAGCGGUGAAAUGCUUAGAGAUCAUACAGAACACCGAUUGCGAAGGCAGCUUACCAAGCUACUUCUGACGUUGAGGCACGAAAGCGUGGGGAGCAAACAGGAUUAGAUACCCCUGUAGUC
rnacentral:rRNA from 1 species